CGCUCUUUGUAGUAUAGAAAUAAAGAGUCGUACCUGCCCAGUGAAUGUUUAAACGGCCGCAGUACCCUGACUGUGCAAAGGUAGCAUAAUCAUUUGCCUUUUAAUUGAAGGCUGGAAUGAAUGGUUUGACGUAGUCCGACUGUCUCUUUUUUUAUUAGCUAAAAUUUAAUUUUUAGGUGAAGAAGCCUAAAUAGAGUCGAAAGACGAAAAGACCCUGUCGAACUUAAAAGUGUUCUUAAGAUUAUUGAUUUAGUGGAGUAAAAUUUUUUUGGGGUUCUUUUUUGUUGGGGUGACAUAAGAACAUAAAAAGCUUCUUUGAAUUAAGUUAAAACUAAUUGGUUAGAAGAAUCCGCAGAUUGUUGCGAAUUAAGCCGAGUUACCGCAGGGAUAACAGCGUUAUUUUUUUGGAGAGUUCAAAUCGAAGAAAAAGAUUGCGACCUCGAUGUUGGAUUGGAAAACCUAGUAGGCGAAGAAGCUUAUUUGUGGGGGUCUGUUCGACCUUUAAAUUUCCACAUGAUCUGA
rnacentral:rRNA from 1 species